GAUACUGCCGUGCUAGAGGAUUGGAGAGGUAGCUGGAAUUCUUGGUGUAGCAGUGAAAUGCGUGGAUAUCAAGAGGAACACUCGUGGCGAAAGCGAGCUACUGGACAACUCCUGACGCUGAGGCUCGAAGGCCAGGGUAGCGAAAGGGAUUAGAUACCCCUGUAGUCCUGGCAGUAAACGGUGCACGCUUGGUGUGAGGGGAAUCGACCCCCCUUGUGCCGGAGCAAACGCGUUAAGCGUGCCGCCUGGGAAGUACGGUCGCAAGACUAAAACUCAAAGAAAUUGACGGGGACCCGCACAAGCGGUGGAGUAUGUGGCUUAAUUCGAUGCAACGCGAAGAACCUUACCAAGGCUUGACAUGGAUUUCUAAGCACGUGAAAGCGUGUGACCCUUCGGGGAACUUCCACAGGUGCUGCAUGGCCGUCGUCAGCUCGUGUCGUGAGAUGUUGGGUUAAGUCCCGCAACGAGCGCAACCCUUGUGACUAGUUGCCAGCACGUAAUGGUGGGAACUCUAGUCAGACUGCCCAGAUCAACUGGGAGGAAGGUGGGGACGACGUCAGGUCAGUAUGGCCCUUACGCCUUGGGCUGCACACGUACUACAAUGCCCAGUACAAUGAGAACCGAUACCGCGAGGUGGAGGAAAUCUGUAAAACUGGGCCCAGUUCGGAUUGGAGGCUGCAACUCGCCUCCAUGAAGUUGGAAUCGCUAGUAAUGGCGCAUCAUCUACGGCGCCGUGAAUACGUUCCCGGGUCUUGUACACACCGCCCGUCACAUCAUGGAAGCCGGUCGCACCCGAAGUGCCCGUGCCAACCGCAAGGAGGCAGGGUCCUAAGGUGUAGCUGGUAACUGGGAUGAAGUCGUAACAAGGUA
rnacentral:rRNA from 1 species